rnacentral:rRNA from 1 species
UACGGGGGGUGCGAGCGUUGUCCGGAAUCACUGGGCGUAAAGCGCACGUAGGCGGAUCUUUAAGUCAGGGGUGAAAUCCCGAGGCUCAACCUCGGAACUGCCUUUGAUACUGGGGAUCUCGAGUCCGGAAGAGGUAAGUGGAACUGCGAGUGUAGAGGUGAAAUUCGUAGAUAUUCGCAAGAACACCAGUGGCGAAGGCGGCUUACUGGUCCGGAACUGACGCUGAGGUGCGAAAGCGUGGGGAGCAAACAGG